rnacentral:rRNA from 1 species
CUCGUAGGCGGCUUGUCGCGUCUGCUGUGAAAACCCGGAGCUCAACUCCGGGCCUGCAGUGGGUACGGGCAGGCUAGAGUGCGGUAGGGGAGAUUGGAAUUCCUGGUGUAGCGGUGGAAUGCGCAGAUAUCAGGAGGAACACCGAUGGCGAAGGCAGAUCUCUGGGCCGCUACUGACGCUGAGGAGCGAAAGCAUGGGGAGCGAACA